rnacentral:rRNA from 1 species
UACGUAGGGGGCGAGCGUUGUCCGGAUUCAUUGGGCGUAAAGCGCUUUAAGGCGGUUCGCUAAGUCGCGUGUGAAACCUCCAGGCUCAACCUGGAGACGCCACGCGAUACUGGCGUGACUAGAGUUCGGUAGGGGAUCACGGAAUUCCUGGUGUAGCGGUGAAAUGCGCAGGUAUCAGGAGGAACACCGGUGGCGAAGGCGGUGAUCUGGGCCGACACUGACGCUGUAGAGCGAAAGCGUGGGGAGCGAACAGG